UACGGGGGGGGGCAAGCGUUGUUCGGAAUUACUGGGCGUAAAGGGCUCGUAGGUGGCCAACUAAGUCAGACGUGAAAUCCCUCGGCCUAACCGGGGAACUGCGUCUGAUACUGGAUGGCUUGAGUUUGGGAGAGGGAUGCGGAAUUCCAGGUGUAGCGGUGAAAUGCGUAGAUAUCUGGAGGAACACCGGUGGCGAAGGCGGCAUCCUGGACCAACACUGACACUGAGGAGCGAAAGCCAGGGGAGCAAACGGG
rnacentral:rRNA from 1 species